CCUACGGGAGGCAGCAGUGAGGAAUAUUGGUCAAUGGGCGGGAGCCUGAACCAGCCAAGCAGCGUGAGGGAAGAAUGUACAACGUAUCGUACACCUCUUUUGUCAGGGAACAAAGGCGGGGACUAGUCCCCGGAUGAGAGUACCUGAAGACAAAGCAUCGGCUAACUCCGUGCCAGCAGCCGCGGUAAUACGGAGGAUGCGAGUGUUAUCCGGAUUUAUUGGGGUUAAAGGGUGUGCAGGCGGCCUGUUAAGUCAGCGGUAAAAGCUCGGGGCACAACCCCGGCGAGCCGUUGAAACUGGCGGGCUGGAGUGGGAGAGAGGUACGGGGAAUGCGGGGGGUAGCGGUGAAUGCUUAGAUAUCGCGCAGAACCCCGAUUGCGAAGGCAGCGUACCGGCUUCACACUGACGCUGAGGCACGAAAGCGUGGGUAUCGAACAGGAUUAGAUACCCUUGUAGUC
rnacentral:rRNA from 1 species